AGACCCCGAUGUAUCAAAUCCGAGGUCAGGCAGUGGUCCUGAAGCUGAGCAAAUGUAUGUGGAAGCAGGCUCAGGCCUAGCGGCACUUCGCCUCCUUCACACAGACCCCCGCCGGACACCGCGCCCUGCCGCGACUCACUUAGCAAGUCUCGCGGAUUAGGUUUGAUCGCAUUCGGCCCUUUCCCGGAUAGCUCGUCGCGGAUACUUCUCACAGCGAAGCAGCAGCUCCCAGAAGCCGUAAAGCUAUCCCAGAGCGAGGCACCAUACGUAAAUCUUCCGCGUCGCUACGUGACGUCAGUGCGAGCGACCCCGGGCCGGCUGCGUGGAGCUGGCGCUGCCUCUCCUGAAGCCGAGGCGCUAACUUGAGUGAAGAGGUCUAUAGGCUUUUUCACUUUUGGUUAUCUGCUCAGGCGCUCCUUGGGGUCGCGCAUGGUCUCGGACAGGGUUUGCAAGGACUUCGGAGCUAACCAGUUUGGAGCCAUAACCCUUUCGUACUUGCCAAAAAACUCUGGGCAAGACUCUUGAAUUUUGAGCCGCAGUAUUCUCGUUCAUAAGGUGAGAAUAAAAACAUCACCUAGGGUUGAUGUGAAGAGAGAUGAAAUCAUUGUGAAAUAGGAGAGUUAUUGCUUUCAACCAAUGACAUUUUCUGGAAACGUGCUGGAGAUAUGGCUGCAGCAGUGACGCCUGCAAACGACGUUCCUGUCAUCAUGAUGCUGACAUUUUAAUUGGGAAGCAGAUUGAAACGAUAACUAAGGAAUUUGACAGGAGCAUUUAGUAGGACCUGUAAAGAAAUUAAAGCAGGUCCGAGGUGGAGUUUUGUAAACUAUAUGCCUGAAUAGAACUUUCUGUUUCCAAGGGAAUUGUUACAGUUGGAGACAUGUCAAUUAUUACAAUAAGCGUCAAGGGCAAUAACAGAGGUGUUUUAAAGCUACUGUCUGGUGGCAGAAUAAUCGGGAUUUUUUUGUUUGGGGGGUUUUAGCCGGGGGAGGGACUGCGAAGACAGCUCUGCAUCAAAACAGUACGUGAGAAAAAAGCAUAGGACGCUCUCGCAGCCGUAGUUGUUGGUGACAAGAAACUGUGCUUCUAAUCUAAGCAAAAAAUAUCUCCACAUGCCAACUAUACUUUUCCAAGAUGUACCAUGGACUACUCAAACUAACACAGCCUUAUUUAUGUAUUUAGGUUGGAAGUGGGCAAAAGUGUAUCUUGUCUAUGUUUCUAUGUUUCUACGUUGGGAUGACACCAUCAUCCACCCAGCCAGACAGUUAUCAACCUUCCCACUUUCUUAACCUCUUACAUCCGAUUAGACCCUAUGUCCUCUAGUUCUCAGUCUUGAGACCAGCACCCAGCUGGCUACAUCAGAAUUGCCGGUGGUGAUGUUUUAGAAGAUUCCAAAUUCCUGGACUCCAUCCCCGGAGGUUCAUCCCCUAGUUUUCUAGUGAGGGGCCUAGAACCUGCGUUUUUUAAGUGUCAUGUUCAUCGCCAUUACUGCUACUUUAGUUCAGGUCUUCUUGGUCAGCUUUUUCCUAAAACGUUUUCAGUUUUGUUUGCCUCUGAUUGACUCUGAAUUGCUGCCAAAAUGAUGUUUUAUUAUUCCAGUAUCAUCAUCCAACUCUCUGAUAUUAAUGAUACCUUUUUUAAAGUUUUUCUUCCCUUGCAGUAUCUAUUUCCCUCAAGUUUCCUUUUUUUUUCUUCUGUUGAUUUUGUGCUCUAUCUUUCACAUUAGAGGCUUUCCUAGGAUGUCUGGUGGUCCUUAUCUGCUCAUAUGUAAGUGGGGGUAUAUUUAAAAGUUGAUUGGAAGCUGUUGAGCCCAUGGGACGUUUGUUGAAAAUCAAGUGGGAGAGGAGGGGUAUGGAGGCUGCGGUAUGUCUCAGAAUUUAGUACAAUUUUCACUUAAUUCUCUUUGUUUUAGGUGCCUGAUGUCCUCCAUUACAGAGACCCCGUUUUACUCCUGAGCAAUAAAAAAAGGCUUCAGAAUAAGGCGGGGGCCGGGGGUGGCAUAAAGGAUAUAACACUCUCCUAAAUGAACUUCCAGUCCUUUUAGGUACCCUCUUCACUUCUACUUCCUGAAGCCAGUUUCUUAGUUUUUUAGGGGGUUCUGUGAUACAAAUAGAAUUGCUUGUUGGUUUUGCUCACUGGGGGUUUAGAAUUCAGGUUUUUCAAGUCAACUGAGCCCUUUGCUAUUGAUUCCAGAAUUUCAUUUCCAUUAUUCCUUUUCUUUAAUCCUUAAGGGUGUAUGACUUUAAAAAUCCUGUUACUGUCAUUUUCAGGGAGUCUUAGGGAGCAAAUGUAGAACACUAUGUUUAAGACAGCAUUUUUACCUGAUAAUCCAAGGUGAUCAUUCUAAAACAUAUACCAGAUCAGUCAUAGCAUUCUUCUAUGAGAAUAAGAAGCUUCAAUGAUCCCUCGUUGCCUGCAUAACAUUCAGACUCUUCAGCAAGGUAAACAAGAGAGUUCAUUUUCUUUCCAACCUGAUAUCUCACAGCAGGCCACUGCUCCCCCACCCAUCUUCCACAUUCCCCACACCUGAUACUGUAAACUCUAGUCAUAAUGAAAGGCUAGUAAGAGUUCUGAGAAUACAAAGUCCUUAUCAUGUUUCCACACCUGUUUUGGCUGGGCUCAGGCUGAAAUACCCUUCUUUCUCCAUGCCUGCUUGAUGAAAAUACAGCUUAAACAUGACUUCCUCAGUGAUGCCUUUCUUCAAGCCCUAA
rnacentral:lncRNA from 1 species